UACGUAGGGGGCAAGCGUUGUCCGGAUUUAUUGGGCGUAAAGAGCGUGUAGGCGGCUAGGUAGGUCCGUUGUGAAAACUCGAGGCUCAACCUCGAGACGCCGAUGGAAACCAUCUAGCUAGAGUCCGGAAGAGGAGAGUGGAAUUCCUGGUGUAGCGGUGAAAUACGCAGAUAUCAGGAAGAACACCCGUGGCUAAGGCGGCUCUCUAGUACGGUACUGACGCUGAGACGCGAAAGCGUGGGGAGCGAACAGG
rnacentral:rRNA from 1 species